ensembl:lncRNA
CAGAGAAUAAAGUAACAGAGGAUAUGCGGCAAUGAAGGAACCAAACUCCUAUUUUCACGACUCCCAGACUUAAAUGAAUAUGAUGGUCCUGGGUGUGUCCCACCUGUCUGCCAGUCUAACUGGGAACAGAGGUGUUCAACUGCCUCCUGGCCUGGUCACCAACAACUGGUACCUGUGGCUAGUGGCUGGCGGCCCUUCGGUCCAGGUGAAACAGGAGCUCUUCAACGUCAACCAGUCUGUCAUGAAUCUUCUACACACCACUAUUGGUCACCAAUGUCCUCUUCAUCAAAAGUUUGAUCAUUCAUUCGGACAGGGUACACUUUUGUCUUUGCUGAGUUUGGACCUGUUCCAGUGCUGCAUCUGUGUGGAGCUCUACCUGGCGGGGAUCUACCCUGUGGCCUCCCUCAAGUACAGACCCCUGAGGUACAGGGCAGCGUGUGUGAUCAUGGCAUGGUUGAUGACACUCGGCCUCUUCGGUUCAAUGGGCGCUACCGAAGGCUGCAUCGAGUUCAACGCUGGUAUCUUCGCUGUGAUUCUGUUCACUGAUG